UGGAUUUGUGAUCGCUACCAAAGUGUCACGGUAAUCACGUCGUCGUCGUUUUAAUCGCAGUUAUUUCUAUUAUUUUACAAAGCAACAGAGGUCAGCUCGGAAUACUGUGCUAAUCGCUUUUUAUUUUUAAUUCUUUAAUGCAGAUCAUUAUUGGUAUUGAGCCAAAUAAACCAACAGCAAUUUCAAUUAACUUUGAUGUUAACCUAUAAUAUUUUUAACCUACUAUGGAUCAACUUACUAGGCGGACGAGUGUUUUGGAGCCAUCAGGGAACUUCACAAGUAGUGAGUGAAAAAAUUAAAAUCCCUCUGGUGCUCAUCAUGUCGAGGAUGAAAGAUCCAAAUCGGCACGAGUUACUGGUUGUAAUUUUUUAAGUUGAUAAUUGACGAGCAUGACCGUGAGUAAAUUCUCUUGUGAAUUUACUCACGAGUGGCAUAUAUCUUUGUAUAUUUUUUAUAUUUUGCAUAUAUAUGUGUGUGUGUAUGUAUAUUAGCUCAGGUUA